CCGCUUCUCCAGCAUCGACGGGAUUCUGCACCCUUGACUCCAGCUUCUCCGACAUCGGUGGGAUUCUGCACCAACAGAAUUGGUGCUAGAGGAAGGGACUGUGUCUUCGCAGGACCCUUAUUCUUAAAGGAGUACUCAACGGGACUGUCUUCGAUCAUCUCCUUUGACAUCUUCUUCUUCUUCUCCAGCCAAAUUCUAAUCUGAUGCCUCCCCGAAAGGCUUCCACCAUGCGAUCUACAGCCUCCAUGGCUAGAUCUCAGUGAGAUCUGCCAGCUCCGACC
rnacentral:lncRNA from 1 species